rnacentral:lncRNA from 1 species
CUGACACGUUAUAACUCGUUAAGAAAAAUAUAUUUUUUCUUAAAUUUGCACAUACCACACUUUGCCACGUAAAUAUAACCGUCGAAAAGUUUUGUCCCAUUACUUGGUCUCUAAAUGUUUGUUUUUUACAAUUUUUGACAUAUGCGAUCUUGAAGUAUAUACAAACAUGUUUGACGGUUGGAUCGUUGAAACUAGUUUCGUAGAAUGUGUAUCCCAUCAAAACAAUAGAUUCACUAACACUUAAGAGUUUAUUCAUACUCUCAUUAAGUAUAACGUACCACUAGUGUAAAUAUUUUAAAUUGAUGAUCGAAUUAAUUCAUUGUAUUCAUAUAGGGUCAAGGAGUGUAGCUGUAAAAAAUCAUCAAAAUCAGAGUUAAAAUAACUAUUAAAUCGUGAUUUUUCGUUUUAUAAUCGUCGAAAAGUUUUGUUCGGUUACUUAAUCUCUGAAUGUUUUUUUUUUGCAAUUUUUGGCAUAUGUGAUCUCAAAGUAUAUACAAACAUGUUUGACGGUUGGAUCGUUGAAACUAGUUUCGUAGAAUGCAUAUCCCAUCAAAACAAUAGAUUCAUUAACACUUAAGAGUUUAUUCAUACUUCCAUUAAGUAUAUCCACUAGUGUAAAUAUUUUAAAUUGAAGAUCGAAUUCAUUCAUUGUAUUCAUAUAGGGUCAAGGAGUGUAGCUGUAAAAAAUCAUCAAAAUCGGAGUUAAAAUAACCGUUAAAUCGUGAUUGUUCUUUUUAUAACCGUCGAAAGAUUUUGUCUGGUUACUUGAUCUCUAUAUGUUUGUUUUUUGCAAUUUCUGGCGUAUGUGAUCUCAAAGUAUAUACAAACAUGUUUGACGGUUGGAUCGUUGAAACUAGUUUCGUAGAAUGCGUAUCCCAUCAAAACAAUAGAUUCACUAAAAUUUAAGAGUUAAUUCAUAAUUUCAUUAAGUAUAACCACUAGUGUAAAUAUUUUAAAUUGAAGAUCGAAUUCAUUCAUUAUAUUCAUAUAGGGUCAAAGAGUGUAGCUGUAAAGAACCAUCAAAAUCGAAGUUAAAAUAACCGUUAAAUCGUGAUUUUUCUUUUUAUAACCGUUGAAAAGUUUUGUCUCGUUACUUGAUCUCUAAAUGUUUGUUUUUUGCAAUUUUUGGUGUAUGCGAUCUCGAAGUAUAUACAAACAUGUUUGACGGUUGGAUCGUUGAAACUAGUUUCGUAGAAUGCAUAUCCCAUCAAAACAAUAGAUUCACUAACACUUAAGAGUUUAUUCAUACUUAAACAAAAGAUUUUGUGGUAUCCACUAGUGUAAAUAUUUUAAAUUGAAGAUCGAAUUCAUUCAUUGUAUUCAUAUAGGGUCAAGGAGUGUAGUUGUAAAAAAUCAUCAAAAUCGGAGUUCAAAUAACCGUUAAAUCGUGAUUUUUCAUUUUAUAACUGUCGAAAAGUUUUGUCCCGUUACUUAAUCUCUGAAUGUUUGUUUUUUGCAAUUUUUGGCGUGCAAUCUCGAAGUAUAUACAAACAUGUUUGACGGUUGGAUCGUUGAAACUAGUUUCGUAGAAUGCGUAUCCCAUCAAAACAAUAGAUUCACUAACAUUUAAGAGUUUAUUCAUAAUUUCAUUAAGUAUAACAUAAGAUUUUGUGGUAUCCAUUAGUGUAAAUAAUUUAAAUUGAAGAUCGAAUUCAUUCAUUGUAUUCAUAUAGGGUCAAGGACUGUAGCUGUAAAGAAUCAUCAAAAUCGGAGUUAAAAUAACCGUUAAAUCAUGAUUUUUCUUUUUAUAACCAUCGAAAAGUUUUGUCCCGUUACUUGAUCUCUGAAUGUUUGUUUUUUGUAAUUUUUGGUGUAUACGAUCUCGAAGUAUAUACAAACAUGUUUGACGGUUGGAUCGUUGAAACUAAUUUCAUAGAAUGCGUAUCCCAUCAAAACAAUAGAUUCACUAACACUUACGAGGUUUAUUCAUACUUUCAUCAAGUAUGACAUAAGAUUUUGUUGUAUCAACUAGUGUAAAUAUUUUAAAUUGAAGAUCGAAUUCAUUCAUUGUAUUCAUAUAGGGUCAAGGAGUGUAGCUAUAAAAAAUCAUCAAAAUCAGAGUUAAAAUAACCGUUAAAUUGUGAUUUUUCGUUUUAUAAUCGUCGAAAUGUUUUGUUCGGUUAGUUAAUCUUUGAAUGUUUGUUUUUUGCAAUUUUUGGCGUAUGCGAUCUCGAAGUAUAUACAAACAUGUUUGACGGUUGGAUCGUUGAAACUAGUUUCGUAGAAUGCGUAUCCCAUCAAAACAAUAGAUUCACUAACACUUUAGAGUUUAUUUAUACUUUCAUUAAGUAUAACAUAAGAUUUUGUGGUAUCCACUAGUGUAAAUAUUUUAAAUUGAAGAUCGAAUUCAUUCAUUGUAUUCAUAUAGGGUCAAAGAGUGUAGCUGUAAAAAAUCAUCAAAAUCGGAGUUAAAAUAACCGUUAAAUCGUGAUUGUUCGUUUUAUAAUCGUCGAAAAGUUUUGUUUGGUUACUUAAUCUCUGAAUGUUUUUUUUUGUAAUUUUUGGCGUAUGCGAUCUUGAAGUAUAUACAAACAAGUUUGACGGUUUGAUCAUUGAAACUAAUUUCGUAGAAUGCGUAUCCCAUCAAAAUAAUAGAUUCACUAACACUUAAGAGUUUAUUUAUACUUUUAUUAAGUAUAACAUAAGAUUUUGUGGUAUCCACUGAUGUAAAUAUUUUAAAUUGAAGAUCGAAUUCAUUCAUUGUAUUCAUAUAGGGUCAAGGAGCGUAGCUAUAAAAAAUCAUAAAAAUCGGAGUUAAAAUAACCGUUAAAUCGUGAUUUUUCAUUUUAUAACCGUCGAAAAGUUUUGUUUGGUUACUUGAUCUCUGAAUGUUUGUUUUUUGCGAUUUUUUAAUGAUGUGAUCUCGAAGCAUAUACAAACAAGUUUGACGGUUGGAUCGUUGAAAUUAGUAUCGUAUAAUUUAUAUCUCAUAAAGGUCAAUGGUAUAUAUAUAUAUAUAUAUAUAUAUAUAUAUAUAUAUAUAUAUAUAUUAAGUAGAUUUAAAUCUAUUUAUUUUGUAAGUAUAAUUAUUAUAGUUUUUAGGGGUAUAAAAUUUAAUUUAAAAUUAUAU